CCUACGGGAGGCUGCAGUGGGGAAUAUUGCACAAUGGGGGAAACCCUGAUGCAGCGACGCCGCGUGAGCGAUGAAGUAUUUCGGUAUGUAAAGCUCUAUCAGCAGGGAAGAAGAUGACGGUACCUGCCUAAGAAGCCCCGGCUAACUACGUGCCAGCAGCCGCGGUAAUACGUAGGGGGCAAGCGUUAUCCGGAUUUACUGGGUGUAAAGGGAGCGUAGACGGCGAUGCAAGCCAGAUGUGAAAGCUCGGGGCUCAACCCCGGGACUGCAUUUGGAACUGUGUGGCUGGAGUGUCGGAGAGGCAGGCGGAAUUCCUAGUGUAGCGGUGAAAUGCGUAGAUAUUAGGAGGAACACCAGUGGCGAAGGCGGCCUGCUGGACGAUGACUGACGGUGAGGCGCGAAAGCGUGGGGAGCAAACAGGAUUAGAUACCCCUGUAGUC
rnacentral:rRNA from 1 species